rnacentral:rRNA from 1 species
UACGAAGGGGGCUAGCGUUGUUCGGAUUUACUGGGCGUAAAGCGCACGUAGGCGGAUUGUUAAGUCAGGGGUGAAAUCCCAGAGCUCAACUCUGGAACUGCCUUUGAUACUGGCAAUCUCGAGUCCGGAAGAGGUGAGUGGAACUCCUAGUGUAGAGGUGGAAUUCGUAGAUAUUAGGAAGAACACCAGUGGCGAAGGCGGCUCACUGGUCCGGAACUGACGCUGAGGUGCGAAAGCGUGGGGAGCAAACAGG